rnacentral:rRNA from 1 species
UACGUAGGGUGCAAGCGUUGUCCGGAAUUAUUGGGCGUAAAGAGCUCGUAGGCGGUUUGUCGCGUCGGGAGUGAAAUCCACUGGCUUAACUGGUGGCUUGCUUUCGAUACGGGCAGACUGGAGGUAUGCAGGGGAGAACGGAAUUCCAGGUGUAGCGGUGAAAUGCGUAGAUAUCUGGAGGAACACCGGUGGCGAAGGCGGCAUCCUGGACCGACACUGACACUGAGGAGCGAAAGCCAGGGGAGCAAACGGG